rnacentral:rRNA from 1 species
CCUACGGGUGGCUGCAGUGGGGAAUAUUGGACAAUGGGCGAAAGCCUGAUCCAGCCAUGCCGCGUGUGUGAAGAAGGCCUUCGGGUUGUAAAGCACUUUCAGUGGGGAAGAAAGCCUUGGGGCUAAUACCCUCGAGGAAGGACAUCACCCACAGAAGAAGCACCGGCUAACUCCGUGCCAGCAGCCGCGGUAAUACGGAGGGUGCGAGCGUUAAUCGGAAUUACUGGGCGUAAAGCGCGCGUAGGCGGUCUGAUAAGCCGGUUGUGAAAGCCCCGGGCUCAACCUGGGAACGGCAUCCGGAACUGUCAGGCUAGAGUGCAGGAGACGAAGGUAGAAUUCCCGGUGUAGCGGUGAAAUGCGUAGAGAUCGGGAGGAAUACCAGUGGCGAAGGCGGCCUUCUGGACUGACACUGACGCUGAGGUGCGAAAGCGUGGGUAGCAAACAGGAUUAGAUACCCUGGUAGUC